rnacentral:rRNA from 1 species
CUACGGGAUGCUCCAGUGAGGAAUAUUGGACAAUGGUCGAAAGACUGAUCCAGCCAUGCCGCGUGCGGGAUGACUGCCCUAUGGGUUGUAAACUGCUUUUAUACGGGAAGAAAAACACCUACGUGUAGGUGACUGACGGUACCGUAAGAAUAAGGACCGGCUAACUCCGUGCCAGCAGCCGCGGUAAUACGGAGGGUCCAAGCGUUAUCCGGAAUCAUUGGGUUUAAAGGGUCCGUAGGCGGGCUAUUAAGUCAGAGGUGAAAGUUUGCAGCUCAACUGUAAAAUUGCCUUUGAUACUGAUAGUCUUGAAUUGUAGUGAAGUGGUUAGAAUAUGUGGUGUAGCGGUGAAAUGCAUAGAUAUCACAUAGAAUACCGAUUGCGAAGGCAGAUCACUAACUAUAUAUUGACGCUGAGGGACGAAAGCGUGGGGAGCGAACGGGAUUAGAUACCCCGGUAGUC